GAACGGUAGCACAGAGAGCUUGCUCUCGGGUGACGAGUGGCGGACGGGUGAGUAAUGUCUGGGAAACUGCCCGAUGGAGGGGGAUAACUACUGGAAACGGUAGCUAAUACCGCAUAACGUCUUCGGACCAAAGUGGGGGACCUUCGGGCCUCACACCAUCGGAUGUGCCCAGAUGGGAUUAGCUAGUAGGUGGGGUAAUGGCUCACCUAGGCGACGAUCCCUAGCUGGUCUGAGAGGAUGACCAGCCACACUGGAACUGAGACACGGUCCAGACUCCUACGGGAGGCAGCAGUGGGGAAUAUUGCACAAUGGGCGCAAGCCUGAUGCAGCCAUGCCGCGUGUAUGAAGAAGGCCUUCGGGUUGUAAAGUACUUUCAGCGGGGAGGAAGGCGAUGUGGUUAAUAGCCGCAUCGAUUGACGUUACCCGCAGAAGAAGCACCGGCUAACUCCGUG
rnacentral:rRNA from 1 species